rnacentral:rRNA from 1 species
GACGAACGCUGGCGGCGUGCUUAAUACAUGCAAGUCGAGCGAGGCCUUGGAAUUGGAGUCCUUCGGGAUGAAGAGUCCUUGGCCUAGCGGCGGACGGGUGAGUAACGCGUGGGCAACCUACCCCAAAGUCCGGGAUAACAGUGGGAAACCGCUGCUAAUACCAGAUGACUUUACCUGAGGGCAUCCUCGGGUAAAGAAAGGUUACGCUUUGGGAUGGGCCCGCGUCCCAUUAGCUAGUUGGUGAGGUAACGGCUCACCAAGGCGACGAUGGGUAGCCGGCCUGAGAGGGUGAACGGCCACACUGGGACUGAGACACGGCCCAGACUCCUACGGGAGGCAGCAGUAGGGAAUAUUGCGCAAUGGGCGGAAGCCUGACGCAGCGACGCCGCGUGAGCGAAGAAGGCCUUCGGGUCGUAAAGCUCUGUCCUUGGGGAAGAAGGCGAAAGCUUGACGGUACCCAAGAAGAAAGCCCCGGCUAACUACGUG